GCUGGUAUAGUUAAGAAGGUUAUAACACUCCCCUGAUAAGGGAAUAUCGGUGGUUCGAUUCCACCUACCAGUACCA
rnacentral:tRNA from 9 species